rnacentral:rRNA from 1 species
CCUACGGGUGGCAGCAGUGAGGAAUAUUGGUCAAUGGACGAGAGUCUGAACCAGCCAAGUAGCGUGAAGGACGACUGCCCUAUGGGUUGUAAACUUCUUUUGUAGAGGUAUAAAACGAGGCACGCGUGCCUUUCUGAAUGUACUCUAUGAAUAAGGAUCGGCUAACUCCGUGCCAGCAGCCGCGGUAAUACGGAGGAUCCGAGCGUUAUCCGGAUUUAUUGGGUUUAAAGGGAGCGGCGAUGGGUAGUUAAGUCAGUGGUGAAAUUAUGAGGCUGAAACGUAAGAUUGCAAUUGAUACUGGUAGUCUUGAGUACAUGUGGGGUAGGCGGAAUGCGUGGUGGAGCGGUGAAAUGCAUAGAUAGCACGCAGAACGCCGAUUGCGAAGGCAGCUUACUAAGCUGUGAAUGACAUUGAUGCACGAAAGUGUGGGCAUCAAACAGGAUUAGAUACCCGUGUAGUC